rnacentral:lncRNA from 1 species
CACAUCUCCGCUCACCCGGCGCACACUAGCACACACCUCUCGCACACCGCACUCAUCUUACCCGCCCUGCAUCCACCCUGCAGACCCCGCACUCACCCUGCAUCCACCACACACACCUGGCAGACUCAGGAGCCACGCCACAUACCUGGCACAUCCCAGACUCCACAUCCAUUCCACACACCCCGCACACACCACAGACGCCGCUCGUCACCACGCACACACCCCGCGCUCAACCUGCGCGCAGAGCAGACUGUCCGCCGCGCCCGCUCACAGCGGAGCCGCAGCUCCUGCCCGAGGAGCCGCCCGCGUCCGCGCCGCCGGGCGGCGCCGGCGGGAAGAGGAGGCUACGCUGAGCUUCUCCGACCCGAGAUUCGCCGGGGGGAGCUCCAGCAGCAGAGGCCGCGGCCG